CCGCUGUAGGAUGUCAGGCCGGGAACCCCAGGAAGCAGGGGAAGAGAGGGAGAUACCUCUUCAUUCCAGGCCCAGGAUACAGCCAGCUCUGCAGUGGUCUACGAACCAUGACAAUCUAUCACUGCCUCCCAGGCCAGGAACAUGUUUUCACCAAGACCUUUGAAGAGCAGACACUGACCCUGUGCCUGGACACCCCGUGAAAUUAAAGAUCCAUCUGCUGCUGUCCCCGUGGGAAAGUGAACAGGGACGACACCUCUCGCCAGCUCUGGGUGGCCCCUGUGGCUCUGCCCUUUGCUGCCCAGCUCAAGUCCUCCUCAACAUCCCUCUUCUCUAGCCCAACUCCACUCUCCCCACCUGAGUACAGACCCUCGUCAUUCCCAUUUUGCCCCUUCCUCUGGUCCCCCAGCCCUCCUCCCUAGUGUAUUUUAUACACGGCUCGGAGGAUGCUCCAGUCUGUUCACUUAGCCCCUGCCCCGGUGUCUCCUCACCUUGGCGAUAAAAUCCACACUCCUGAGUGUGAGUGCAAAGUCCUUCCUGGCAUGGCCCCUGCCUCCUCCGUUUCCCCAGGCCUUGAUCUACUGCACAAGUCCCUCUAUCAGCAGCUCCCAAAGGCCAGCUCCCUGGCAGGGCUGAUCCCGAUAAAGUGUUCCACAGUCAGCAAUAUUGAGGGAAAAGCAGCAAUACUGAU